AAAUCUUGAUCAGAAGUGAAUAGCCCUUGCCUAUUCAUGAGAUCAACGUAGUACUUGUUGUCGAAUACAUUAGGGCUUCGAAUGUCCAUGUUGACAGUGUUGUUGGAAUCAGCUGUGGGGCAGCUGCGUUUAAGGUUGUUGGCGAAUGUUUUGUCCAUGGUUGGGUCUUGGUUAGGGAAGAGACGGUCGGUGAAGGAAGUACAGUGGCUGAUUCCGAUAGUGUGGGCCCCGGACAAAGCGACGGCGUCGGUGGCGUCUAAACCCUUGGCUGCAAGGCGACGGAGGACGACUGUGGUAUUGGCAAAUGGUGCAACAAGGUUGUCUAAGGUUGCUUGUUCUGUUGCAAAGGUCCGUCCGUCUUUUCUUCCUAAGGGCACUUUGUAGUUUGGCCCACCAGUCUGGAAGGAACAUUAUAUCACAAGUAACCAAAAUGGGUCAGAAUAUUUAAGUUAAUGGGUUUAAUUCAAAAUAAAUUAAUAGUACGAUAAAUUUUUUAAAACAAAUAAAUAACUUAAACAAAAGUUAUUGGGUUCGACGAACCCGUAGUAUUUAGCUCCCGCCGCGGUAACAAAUGAGACUAACUUAACUUAUAGUUAUAUACAUAGUUAAUAGAAGUAGAUAAGAGUGAGUUGCUGAAGUAUAUCGUUUUGUUAUGAAAAUAAAGAGUUUCUGAUUAAUAAAUUAAUUAAACUAAAAUCCAAAGAAAGAUUAAGCAUGGACAAAAUGGUAAUUUUGGUCUUACCAAGACAACAGAGUCCCUAGCAGCAAUUGCUGUAAUAUCGGAGCAAGACACAACUUUCCCACAUGCAUUGUGAACCCUUUUCCUAAGAUCAUCAAUUAUCUUGAAUGAUCUCUUUCUUAGGGUCAAAUUAGGAAUUGCAGUCUGUUCACUUGGCCCUCCUGCCGAUCCAUCAAGCAACACUGAACCAUCACAUCCCUACAAUAUAAUAAUGCAUAUUUACCAAUAAAGAAAUUAAUACACUUAAUGAUUUACUUUGAUGUAACAUAAUCAAUCAAUGGAGUGCUCUUCUUCAGUGUGGAAAAAAAGAUAUUCACGUAUUUUUUUUGUAUUUAGAAACUACUUUGACAUGCUCUCAUGGUUAUAAAAAUGUCAUGAUAUGUUUAAGAUUGCAUAUUGUAAGAGUACAUUAAUAUGUGCCGAAAGUUUCUUUCUUGACUUUUAAAUUCUGCCUCCAAUCAAAUAUCACUAGAAAUUUAAAAAAUGAAAAAUUGAUUACCUGAACAAAGCAAUCGUGGAAAUGAAGACGAAGUAAGCCAGCAGCUUGGCCAACAUCAUCCUUAAUCUGUUUUUGAAGCCUCUUCCUAAUAAUGGAUUCAAGCUGAGGGCAACUAGAUUCAUAAAAU
rnacentral:lncRNA from 1 species